CCGACGGACUAGGUAGACAAGUGCUACAGUUGUGGGGGGGCCCAAGGCAGAGAGGGGCCCAUGGGAAGUUUAGAUUUUGGUUUUAAGUAGCCUAUUUUUUGUUUUUUGUUCAAAUGGUUUAAUUACAUAACUACAUGUCACGAUGAAUAUCGAUCUAAAUGCAAGCUUUGCGUAUUAAUUUAGUACAUUAUUGUAUUCCAAAAUUCUAAACACCCCUUGCAAAAAUCGCAUAAUGGUUCAGUCCACACAACUGAUUUCACAGCUCGAUUGGGUAUUCCGCCCCCAACGUAGCCUUCCCAACUGAAUGCCUUACGGUAAGGCAUUCAGUUGGGAAGGCUACGUGCGCCGCAAAAGACUUUUAUCUGGAUGGAGAUGCGGCAACAUGUCACAACUACAGAAGUUAAAGUCUGGCUCUCAGAAGCGAAAGGAAAAGAAAGAGAGGGAGAAAAAACAAAAAGAAGGAAGUCAGGUUCUGACUAACUUCUUUACAAAGAAAGAAACUGUCACAGAAAGUGGACCAGCAGCAACAACCCCCUCAUCCUCCUCUGAUGCAGACUUGAGACAAGGUGAGCUUAGUUCAACAUGAAAGCAGAAAUAAACUAGUUUGACUUGAAUGACUGUAGCAACCUUGUAGCAACUUUUGGACCGAUUCUGAAGUUUGCUGAUAUGUCAGAAGAACAAACAAAAGUGUCAUGCCAGACUCUUACAAGAGCAUAUCCAAAGGAUCUCACAGCUGGAUUCGAGGAGGAAGUUUUGCACCUGAAAAAAAUACAUCAGGCAACAUUUCCUCAAGACCUGUCACCUCUUCAGCUCCUUAAUGCCAUUUAUAAUCUCCAACUACAGAGCAUUUUUGGAAAAAUCUGUAUAGCAUUGAGGAUUUUCUGCACCCUACCCGUAAGUGUUGCUGGCGGAGAACGGGCUUUCAGCAAAAUGAAGCUAGUCAAAAACUACCUGAGGUCCACCAUGUCCCAGGACAGACUGAACAGUCUUGCUCUUCUCUCGAUUGAAAGCCAAUUGGCAAGAGCAUUGGACUUUAAGGACCUUAUCAGGGAUUUUGCCAACAAGAAGACCCGUCAGUGGGCAUUUUCUGCGACUCAGUGAUAUGUUUGGGUAUGGCCCUGGGGGGGGGGGCCCUUCCGGACUUCUUGUAUAGGGGCCCAGAAUUUGGUGCUACGGCCCUGGGCCUACCUACAUACAUUUUGAAGAAAUUCAUUUCUCCAAGACUUGUAAAUGAUGCAUAAAAAGUAUAUUUAAUAUUAUAUAUAAAGUAUUGUAUAUGGCUGGGUUAUAAGUAAGUCUAGAUAACACAGACAACAAACUCCUUAUGAAAUACAAUAAUUUAUUAAAGCAUUUUUAAAUCCAGUUAUAAAACAUCAUUUUGUGAUUCGUUUUACUCCAAACAAGCAGAAAUGAUAUUUGUUCAGUCAUUAUAAAUGGGAAGCUAUGAGCUCUGGUAUAGCUGCCGGCAGCAGACCAGAUUAGUCAAUGACAGAGGAGAGCCAGGUGGGUCAGUGAUGCUGAGUGUGAGGUAAAGAUUCAUGCCAUAGAUCGGAUCCGCAGUUAAAUGAAGAAUGAAAACCUGAUAACCAGGUUUCAGUUAAUUUGGGGGUAUUGUUAUGUUUAUACGUGCAGUUUUUGAUAGAUUUGUUAUAGCCUACUAUACUCUCUGUAUUGACUUUUGAUGUGUUUUCUUUCUCUCUCCCAUCAUCAGCAUGACAUUUAAUAAAUACCCUGCCCUCCCCCAAACUAAGACACACUCCAUCAUUUGACACAAAUAAUAAUAUCUUCCUUCAGUAACGGAUGUACAAAGCAAUAUGUGCUUGUUUUCUUUAUACAGUUUGUCACAAAAUGUAAAUGUAAUAAAACAUUUCACUUGAGAUAACAGAUUUCAAAUCAAAGUUAGAUACAGAGGACUAGUUCUAUACUUUUUUUAUGCAAAGAAAAUCAUAAUUUGAAGCCAGUGCCUUUAGUGAACGUUGCUACGUUGUGGAAACAGUCAUAUGAGGUUCUGGGAAUCUAUUGGUUUGUUCAACUAAACUGUAAAAA